rnacentral:rRNA from 1 species
GGUUAAGCGACUAAGCGUACACGGUGGAUGCCCUGGCAGUCAGAGGCGAUGAAGGACGUGCUAAUCUGCGAUAAGCGUCGGUAAGGUGAUAUGAACCGUUAUAACCGGCGAUUUCCGAAUGGGGAAACCCAGUGUGAUUCGUCACACUAUCAUUAACUGAAUCCAUAGGUUAAUGAGGCGAACCGGGGGAACUGAAACAUCUAAGUACCCCGAGGAAAAGAAAUCAACCGAGAUUCCCCCAGUAGCGGCGAGCGAACGGGGAGCAGCCCAGAGCCUGAAUCAGUGUGUGUGUUAGUGGAAGCGUCUGGAAAGGCGUGCGAUACAGGGUGACAGCCCCGUACACAAAAAUGCACAUACUGUGAGCUCGAUGAGUAGGGCGGGACACGUGGUAUCCUGUCUGAAUAUGGGGGGACCAUCCUCCAAGGCUAAAUACUCCUGACUGACCGAUAGUGAACCAGUACCGUGAGGGAAAGGCGAAAAGAACCCCGGCGAGGGGAGUGAAAAAGAACCUGAAACCGUGUACGUACAAGCAGUGGGAGCACGCUUAGGCGUGUGACUGCGUACCUUUUGUAUAAUGGGUCAGCGACUUAUAUUCUGUAGCAAGGUUAACCGAAUAGGGGAGCCGAAGGGAAACCGAGUCUUAACUGGGCGUUAAGUUGCAGGGUAUAGACCCGAAACCCGGUGAUCUAGCCAUGGGCAGGUUGAAGGUUGGGUAACACUAACUGGAGGACCGAACCGACUAAUGUUGAAAAAUUAGCGGAUGACUUGUGGCUGGGGGUGAAAGGCCAAUCAAACCGGGAGAUAGCUGGUUCUCCCCGAAAGCUAUUUAGGUAGCGCCUCGUGAAUUCAUCUCCGGGGGUAGAGCACUGUUUCGGCAAGGGGGUCAUCCCGACUUACCAACCCGAUGCAAACUGCGAAUACCGGAGAAUGUUAUCACGGGAGACACACGGCGGGUGCUAACGUCCGUCGUGAAGAGGGAAACAACCCAGACCGCCAGCUAAGGUCCCAAAGUCAUGGUUAAGUGGGAAACGAUGUGGGAAGGCCCAGACAGCCAGGAUGUUGGCUUAGAAGCAGCCAUCAUUUAAAGAAAGCGUAAUAGCUCACUGGUCGAGUCGGCCUGCGCGGAAGAUGUAACGGGGCUAAACCAUGCACCGAAGCUGCGGCAGCGACGCUUAUGCGUUGUUGGGUAGGGGAGCGUUCUGUAAGCCUGUGAAGGUGUGCUGUGAGGUAUGCUGGAGGUAUCAGAAGUGCGAAUGCUGACAUAAGUAACGAUAAAGCGGGUGAAAAGCCCGCUCGCCGGAAGACCAAGGGUUCCUGUCCAACGUUAAUCGGGGCAGGGUGAGUCGACCCCUAAGGCGAGGCCGAAAGGCGUAGUCGAUGGGAAACAGGUUAAUAUUCCUGUACUUGGUGUUACUGCGAAGGGGGGACGGAGAAGGCUAUGUUGGCCGGGCGACGGUUGUCCCGGUUUAAGCGUGUAGGCUGGUUUUCCAGGCAAAUCCGGAAAAUCAAGGCCGAGGCGUGAUGACGAGGCACUACGGUGCUGAAGCAACAAAUGCCCUGCUUCCAGGAAAAGCCUCUAAGCAUCAGGUAACAUCAAAUCGUACCCCAAACCGACACAGGUGGUCAGGUAGAGAAUACCAAGGCGCUUGAGAGAACUCGGGUGAAGGAACUAGGCAAAAUGGUGCCGUAACUUCGGGAGAAGGCACGCUGAUACGUAGGUGAAGCGACUUGCUCGUGGAGCUGAAAUCAGUCGAAGAUACCAGCUGGCUGCAACUGUUUAUUAAAAACACAGCACUGUGCAAACACGAAAGUGGACGUAUACGGUGUGACGCCUGCCCGGUGCCGGAAGGUUAAUUGAUGGGGUUAGCGCAAGCGAAGCUCUUGAUCGAAGCCCCGGUAAACGGCGGCCGUAACUAUAACGGUCCUAAGGUAGCGAAAUUCCUUGUCGGGUAAGUUCCGACCUGCACGAAUGGCGUAAUGAUGGCCAGGCUGUCUCCACCCGAGACUCAGUGAAAUUGAACUCGCUGUGAAGAUGCAGUGUACCCGCGGCAAGACGGAAAGACCCCGUGAACCUUUACUAUAGCUUGACACUGAACAUUGAGCCUUGAUGUGUAGGAUAGGUGGGAGGCUUUGAAGUGUGGA